rnacentral:rRNA from 1 species
UACGAAGGGUGCUAGCGUUGUUCGGAAUCACUGGGCGUAAAGCGCGCGUAGGCGGCAAUACAAGUCAGGGGUGAAAUCCCAGAGCUUAACUCUGGAACUGCCUUUGAAACUGUAUUGCUAGAGUGUUGGAGGGGAUGGCGGAAUUCCUAAUGUAGGGGUGAAAUGCGUAGAUAUUAGGAGGAACACCGGUGGCGAAGGCGGCCAUCUGGACGACAACUGACGCUGAGGCGUGAAAGCGUGGGGAUCAAACAGG